GUAGGUGAACCUGCGGAAGGAUCAUUAAUUGAAUGAACAUGUUUCUCAGCAUGAUAUUUCAAAUCCCACCUGUGUAUCUUACCUGUUGCUUCCGUGCUGCACAUGCUGCGAGGUCGUGUCUCCUGGUCCCGCGUACCGAGUGCUACGUCACGGAACCUGGUGAGUCGGCACGGAAGGUUAACCUUAAACUCUUGCCUUUGAAUGCCUUCUGUCUGAACUGUAGUACAUUGAAAAAAAGUUAAAACUUUCAACAACGGAUCUCUUGGUUCUC
rnacentral:misc_RNA from 1 species